rnacentral:lncRNA from 1 species
UGAAUCAAAACCAAAAAGUAUUCAGAUCUUUAGAUUAAUAUAACAAAGAAGUGUGUAAAGUUUUAAGCAAUAAUCAUAAAUUAUUUUUGAGAUACGGUGUGACAUGUAAAAAAACCCUCCCCUGUUAUAUAAAAUACUCAGGAACUCAAAAAUAAAAUUUUGAAUCAUCACCAAAAAGUAUACAGAUCUUAAGAUUAAUAUAACAAAGAAGUGUGUAAAGUUUCAAGUAAUAAUCAUAAAUUGUUUUUGAGAUACGGCGCGACAUGUUAAAACCCUCCCCUGUUUUACAAAAUACUCAAUAACUCAAAAAAAAAUUUAAAUCAUCACCAAAAAGUAUACAGAUCUUUAGAUUAAUAUAACAAAGACUUGUGUAAAGUUUUAAGCAAUAAUCAUAAAUUGUUUUUGAGAUACGGCACAACAUGUAAAAAAAACCCUCCCCCUUUUUUACAAAAUACUCAAUAACUCAAAAAUGAAAUUUUGUAUCAUCACCAAAAAGUAUACAGAUCUUUAGAUUAAUAUAACAAAGACAUGUGUAAAGUUUUAAGCAAUAAUCAUAAAUGGUUUUUGAGAUAUGGCGUGACAUGUAAAAACCCCCUCCCCC